UACAGAGGGGGCAAGCGUUGUCCGGAUUGACUGGGCGUAAAGAGCACGUAGGUGGCGCGUCAAGCCGGGUGUGAAAUCCCACCGCUUAACGGUGGGGCGCCAUUCGGGACUGGCGGGCUCGAGGGAGGCAGAGGUCGGUGGAAUUGCCGGUGUAGUGGUGAAAUGCGUAGAGAUCGGCAGGAACACCAAGGGCGAAAGCAGCCGACUGGGCCUCUUCUGACACUGAGGUGCGACAGCGUGGGGAGCAAACAGG
rnacentral:rRNA from 1 species